rnacentral:rRNA from 1 species
UACGUAGGGUGCGAGCGUUGUUCGGAAUUACUGGGCGUAAAGCGCACAUAGGCGGCUUUUGUAAGUUAGAGGUGAAAGCCCGGGGCUCAACUCCGGAAUUGCCUUUAAGACUGCAUCGCUAGAAUUGUGGAGAGGUAAGUGGAAUUCCGAGUGUAGAGGUGAAAUUCGUAGAUAUUCGGAAGAACACCAGUGGCGAAGGCGACUUACUGGACACAUAUUUGACGCUGAGGUGCGAAAAGCGUGGGGGAGCAAACAGG